GCUAAUACAUGCAAGUCGAGCGGACCGACGGGAGCUUGCUCCCUUAGGUCAGCGGCGGACGGGUGAGUAACACGUGGGUAACCUGCCUGUAAGACUGGGAUAACUCCGGGAAACCGGGGCUAAUACCGGAUGCUUGAUUGAACCGCAUGGUUCAAUCAUAAAAGGUGGCUUUUAGCUACCACUUACAGAUGGACCCGCGGCGCAUUAGCUAGUUGGUGAGGUAACGGCUCACCAAGGCGACGAUGCGUAGCCGACCUGAGAGGGUGAUCGGCCACACUGGGACUGAGACACGGCCCAGACUCCUACGGGAGGCAGCAGUAGGGAAUCUUCCGCAAUGGACGAAAGUCUGACGGAGCAACGCCGCGUGAGUGAUGAAGGUUUUCGGAUCGUAAAACUCUGUUGUUAGGGAAGAACAAGUACCGUUCGAAUAGGGCGGUACCUUGACGGUACCUAACCAGAAAGCCACGGCUAACUACGUGCCAGCAGCCGCGGUAAUACGUAGGUGGCAAGCGUUGUCCGGAAUUAUUGGGCGUAAAGCGCGCGCAGGCGGUUUCUUAAGUCUGAUGUGAAAGCCCCCGGCUCAACCGGGGAGGGUCAUUGGAAACUGGGGAACUUGAGUGCAGAAGAGGAGAGUGGAAUUCCACGUGUAGCGGUGAAAUGCGUAGAGAUGUGGAGGAACACCAGUGGCGAAGGCGACUCUCUGGUCUGUAACUGACGCUGAGGCGCGAAAGCGUGGGGAGCGAACAGGAUUAGAUACCCUGGUAGUCCACGCCGUAAACGAUGAGUGCUAAGU
rnacentral:rRNA from 1 species